rnacentral:rRNA from 1 species
UACGGGGGGGGCAAGCGUUGUUCGGAAUUACUGGGCGUAAAGGGCUCGUAGGCGGCCAACUAAGUCAGACGUGAAAUCCCCAGGCUCAACCUGGGAACUGCGUCUGAUACUGGAUGGCUUGAAUUCGGGAGAGGGAUGCAGAAUUCCAGGUGUAGCGGUGAAAUGCGCAGAUAUCAGGAGGAACACCGAUGGCGAAGGCAGGUCUCUGGGCAUUAACUGACGCUGAGGAGCGGAAGCAUGGGGAGCAAACAGG